GAUGAACGCUGGCGGAGGGAAGAAUACAUGCAAGUCGAGCGAACAGACGAGGAGCUUGCUCCUCUGACGUUAGCGGCGGACGGGUGAGUAACACGUGGAUAACCUACCUAUAAGACUGGGAUAACUUCGGGAAACCGGAGCUAAUACCGGAUAAUAUAUUGAACCGCAUGGUUCAAUAGUGAAAGACGGUUUUGCUGUCACUUAUAGAUGGAUCCGCGCCGCAUUAGCUAGUUGGUAAGGUAACGGCUUACCAAGGCAACGAUGCGUAGCCGACCUGAGAGGGUGAUCGGCCACACUGGAACUGAGACACGGUCCAGACUCCUACGGGAGGCAGCAGUAGGGAAUCUUCCGCAAUGGGCGAAAGCCUGACGGAGCAACGCCGCGUGAGUGAUGAAGGUCUUCGGAUCGUAAAACUCUGUUAUUAGGGAAGAACAAAUGUGUAAGUAACUAUGCACGUCUUGACGGUACCUAAUCAGAAAGCCACGGCUAACUACGUG
rnacentral:rRNA from 1 species